GUCUAGGGGAGAGCCUGUAGGUACUCCAUUGUCUGGUAAAGUUCAUAUGACUGCAUUCUUUUUGCAAGGGGGGUGGAGGGAGAGCGGGGAAGGAGGGGGUGUCAGCUCAACUGUAAAAGCUGCACAGAUUUUUUUUCUUUCUCUCUCUCUGCCUCUCCAUAGAUUGUUUCUGUUUCAUGCCCUGUCUCAUUUCGCAUAGCUAAAAAAGAAUGCUAAUUAAGAUCCCUUGUCUUAACCUGAAAAAUAAUGACUCGGCUGUAAUUAGAAAUCUGGUGAGAGUUUAAAAAUUCUGGUAGGGGACCAAAAACAUCAGUUACGGUGCUUAGGAAGAAAAUGAAGAAUUAUUUUUCUGAAAUCAAGAUGGAUCUGAGAACGCUGUCUGGGCUUGGUACCAAGAGCUGGUAUUUCACAGCAGCGACCGCCUCACAGACGAGCUGUGGGAAGCAGGAGGGAGACUCUCUCUUAGGGUGCCACUACUAUGGAGACACAGCUGGGCUGAACAAGAUUUGCUUCAAACGACAACAAGAGAGACAGAAAGUAUCUGGUUCAACCGCUGCCCGAGCAGGCAGGCACCAGAAGAGCUAGCAGCCAAUCCGGCCAUGCUCGAAGCCAGCUCUGCAGCUCAGCCAAUCAGUGACAUCAUUGCUUUCUUUAGCUUGCCCAUGGUGAUGUGAAGAUGAGAAGAAAUAGCAAGGCCCAACCAGUUCUUCAUCUGGAGACAGUUCAACGUUCUGCAAACCAGAUCUUCAGGAAUUUUACUGGGAUAAUUAUCCAAAUAAAUUGCAAGCAUUCUAUCCAAAUGGAGCUCUUUCUGAGAUGAAGAGAAUUCUCAAUGUCAAGAUUUGAACAAGAAGAGAAUGGAAUACACAAUAUGGACAUCCAUAAAAAUUCAUCAGAGAGCAUUUUACUACUGAGCUGCAAAGGGAAAAACUUAAAAUGGAUAUGAAAAGUGAAGAAAGUGAUCAUAGGAGAAAACCAUUUCAGGUAAAAAUAAAAAACAAAGAGCAAAUAAGAUUUACUGUUUUUAAAGAAAAACAACAUUCUUUUGACUGUGUUUUGUUAUAAGAAUUAAUUUCAUAUUCUUUAUGAGUGUAACUGUUGAAAUUUUAUUGAUGGUUUUCAUUUGAAAAUGUGUGCUAUGACCUACCUUUGUGAAAAAUUUCUUGUGGUCAAUUGGGCAGUUUGUGUCCCAUUGAAUAUAUGUCUGUGUAUCCAUACGCUUAAGAUAGGUGCAAUACGGUUUACUAGAAAGCUUUAUAGGAAAAGAAAAAAA
rnacentral:lncRNA from 1 species